rnacentral:rRNA from 1 species
AGAGUUUGAUCAUGGCUCAGGAUGACGCUGCGCGUGCUUAACACAUGCAAGUCGAACGGAAAGGCCUCUAGCUUGCUAGAGGUACUCGAGUGGCGAACGGAUGAGUAACACGUGGGUGAUCUGCCCUGCACUGUGGGAUAAGCCUGGGAAACUGGGUCUAAUACCAUAUAGGACCGCAUCUUGGAUGGUGUGGUGGAAAGCUUUUGCGGUGUGGGAUGAGCUGCGGCCUAUCAGCUUGUUGGUGGGGUAAUGGCCCACCAAGGCGGCGACGGGUAUCCGGCCUGAGAGGGUGUACGGACACAUUGGGACUGAGAUACGGCCCAGACUCCUACGGGAGGCAGCAGUGGGGAAUAUUGCACAAUGGGCGCAAGCCUGAUGCAGCGACGCCGCGUGGGGGAUGAAGGCCUUCGGGUUGUAAACUCCUUUCGCUAUCGACGAAGCCACUUGUGGUGACGGUAGGUAGAUAAGAAGCACCGGCUAACUACGUGCCAGCAGCCGCGGUAAUACGUAGGGUGCAAGCGUUGUCCGGAAUUACUGGGCGUAAAGAGCUCGUAGGUGGUUUGUCGCGUCGUCUGUGAAAUCCCGGGGCUUAACUUCGGGCGUGCAGGCGAUACGGGCAUAACUUGAGUGCUGUAGGGGAGACUGGAAUUCCUGGUGUAGCGGUGAAAUGCGCAGAUAUCAGGAGGAACACCGAUGGCGAAGGCAGGUCUCUGGGCAGUAACUGACGCUGAGGAGCGAAAGCAUGGGUAGCGAACAGGAUUAGAUACCCUGGUAGUCCAUGCCGUAAACGGUGGGCGCUAGGUGUAGGGGUCUUCCACGACUUCUGUGCCGUAGCUAACGCAUUAAGCGCCCCGCCUGGGGAGUACGGCCGCAAGGCUAAAACUCAAAGGAAUUGACGG